UUUUUUUUUUUUUUUUUUUUUUUUGUGACAGAGUCUUGCUCUGUAGCCCAGGCUGGAGUGCAAUGGCAUGAUCUCGGCUCACUGCAACCUCUGCCUCCUGGGUUCAAGUGAUUCUCCUGCCUCAGCCCCCCGAGUAGCUGGGAUUACAGGCACCUGCCACCUUGCCCGGCUAAUUUUUGUAUUUUUAGUAGAGACGGGGUUUCCCCAUGUUGGCCAAGCUGGUCUUGAACUGUAUUUCUUUACAGCAAUGUGAGAACAGAUUAAUUCACAUGUCAUCCUUGCACAGGGGCCAUGCUGAUCUUCUCUGUGUCAUUCCUUAAUUUAUUACUGAAGAAAGAAAAAUACUUGUUACACAUUUAGCAUAGCCUACAUGUACAAUGUUUAUCAAGUCCACUGCAGUGUACAGUAAUGCCCUAGGCCUUCACAUUCACUCACCACUCACUCACUCAUUGACUCAUCCAGAGCAACUUCUGGUCCUGUAAGCCUCGUCCAUGGUAAGUGCGCCGUUCAGGUGUACCAUUUUUAUCUUUUUGUAAUUGUAAUUUUAAUUAAAAUAAAUUUUUUUUUAUAGAGUUGAGGUCUUGCUUCGUUGCCUAGGCUGGUGUUGAACUGCUGGCUUCAAGUGAUCCUCCCACCUUGGCUUCCCAAAAUGCUAGGAUUACAGGCAUAAGCCACUGUACCCAGCCCAUUUUUAUCUUUUUUUUUUCAUUUUAAAUUUAGUUUAUUGGUUAAAUCAUGAUAUAGAAGUUCACUGUUCAAAAAAUCAUUAAAGAUUAUUGUGGCCGGGUGUGGUGGCUCACGCCUGUAAUCCCAGCACUUUGGGAGGCUGAAGCAGGUGGAUCACGAGGUCAGGAGUUCAAGAUCAGCCUGGCCAAUAUGGUGAAACCCCGUCUCUACUAAAAAAAAUACAAAAAUUAGCUGGGCAUGGUGGUGUGCGCCUGUAGUCUCAGCUACUCGGGAGGCUGAGGCAGGAGAAUCGCUUGAACCCAGGAGGCAGAGGUUGCAGUGAGCCCAGAUCACGCCACUGCACUCCAGCCUGGGUGACAGAGUGAGACUCCGUCUCAAAACAAACAAACAAACAAACAAAC
rnacentral:lncRNA from 1 species